rnacentral:rRNA from 1 species
UACAGAGGGUGCGAGCGUUAAUCGGAAUUACUGGGCGUAAAGCGCGCGUAGGCGGCUUUGCAAGUCGGGUGUGAAAUCCCCAGGCUUAACCUGGGAACUGCAUUCGAGACUGCAUUGCUAGAGUAUGGGAGAGGGAAGUGGAAUUUCCGGUGUAGCGGUGAAAUGCGUAGAUAUCGGGAGGAACACCGGUGGCGAAGGCGGCGACCUGGGUAGAUACUGACGCUGAGGCGCGAAGGCGUGGGGAGCAAACAGG